rnacentral:tRNA from 1 species
UGGGGAGUAGCUCAGUGGUAGAGCGCUUGACUACCAUGCUCGAGGCCCUGGGUUUGAUCCCCAGCACUGCAA